UACGGAGGAUGCGAGCGUUAUCCGGGUUUAUUGGGUUUAAAGGGUGCGCAGGCGGCACGGCAAGCCGGCGGUCAAAUCGCGGGGCUCAACCCCGCCCAGCCGUCGGAACUGCCGGGCUAGAGUGGGCGAGAAGUGCGCGGAAUGCGUGGUGUAGCGGUGGAAUGCAUAGAUAUCACGCAGAACUCCGAUUGCGAGGGCAGCGCACCGGCGCCCUACUGACGCUCAGGCACGAAAGCGUGGGUAUCGAACAGG
rnacentral:rRNA from 1 species